rnacentral:lncRNA from 1 species
CUGGCAUCCCAGACCACAGCCCCUGUUGAAAAUUCUGCUGACAUAGCCAGGUGACGGUGACAACGUAUUCUGGCUGUGGCCUGUCACUGUGAAAUAAAAGGGCUCAGGGGCUCUCCAGCACCCACCAUGGGGGGUCCUCCCAGAGCCCUUGGCUCUCUUGGGCCAGUGGCCCCUCUUCUGUGGCAGCCUCCCUCUAGUUGCCCCUAUGAGAGGACCUCUUUUCCUGGCUGGACCCCUGCCUGCUCCCUCCAGUUCACCAGCCCCUAAUCAGGGUGCAAUGCCUCUCAAGGUCCUGGCCUUUUCUCCACUGUUGGGCCCUGCUCUUCCCAGCAUUGGACGGAACAUUGAUGGAUUACUCCCCUGACCCUACGGCCUUUCCCUCGCACUCUCUUUCUCUCUCCUGCUUCCACCUGCUCUGGCCCCAUGCAUCCUGCACCUGUCCUCAGGGCUGCCUCCUCCAACACCUCCUCCCUGCUUCUCUUGUCAAAGGACCUUCUGGCUUGGUCUGAACUGUCAGGUUCAAUUUCUCGAGCUAAACCUUUGAAUCUGGCUGACCCACUCUUGAAUGGUCUUUGUUCCCCAGCUAAGAACCAGCUGAUCUCAGCCCCGGCCAAAAUUUGCCUCAGGGGACUUGCCUGCCUCUAAAUCAUAGCUUCUCUACUCAGUCCCAGACCUCUCCUCCAACUCCAUCUCUCCUCCCUCCUUCUAACCCACAUUUAUGAGGUACCUGCUCUGUGAGUGCUGGGCGGAUACAGACAUGGUGGAACUGGGCCCUGCUCUCCAAAUGCUGACAGCCUCCCAGUAAGAUACUCGUGCAGAACAAGGCAGCAUAGAAUAUAUUCUCUCUCUCUCUUUUUCUUUGUUUUGCCAGAGGUAAAGGAAAGUUCUGUGAGAGAAGGGAAGGAGGGGUGAAGACCAGUUCUGUGUUCUCCAGCUUCCAGUCACAUCUCAUUGGGGGCAGUGGCGAGUGAAUCUCAUUGGCCAAUUAUUCUCCCAUCUUCCUCAUAAGGGAAUAUUUAGGAAUGGGUAUGUGACCCAAUUCUGGCUCAUGAGGUAAGAGAAGUGUGAAGGUUUCCA